AGAAGUCCUGUCUUUACUUAAAUGUGGUAUUUGUUUAUUGGAUCCAAAGCUGUAGAUGGUGUUUGGACAACCAGUCAUGACCUGAGAGGCAACACUCAGGGCAGCAUUAAACUGCAGUAAGGCUUCUGUAUGCCCUUAAAUGACCCUUCACCCCACAUCCAGGAAACUGGUUUGCAGAAGCAAAUUGAGAGUAUUCAGACCAUGGAUUUCCCCUGCAUCAGCACUAUAUGGCUCUAUUUACAUAGCUUUACUGGGAUGAAAAGGCUCAAGAGAAAGAAACAAAACGCAGGAGCUGGAGUGAAUGGGAAUGGAUCUGUCACAAGAGAACAGGACUGUGGGAGGAAACAGAAGUUGGCUGAGAUCCAUCAGGCUUUGAUCAGUGAUCCAGUCGACAUUGAGACCCUGAGGAGAGCAGCAGCCAGUAAGGGAGGACUGCUCACUGAUGAACUGAGGAGGAAAGUCUGGCCUAAACUACUGAACAUCAAUGUGUACGAUCUACCAAAUAAACCUGGUCGAGAUGUUAGGGAGGACCACAAGGACUACAACCAAGUAGUCCUGGAUGUCAGGAGGUCCAUGAAGCGGUUCCCUAAAGGUAUGCCAGCCGCAGAGAGAUCUGUGCUUCAGGAGCAGCUCAUUGACAUCAUACUGGAGGUUUUGAAACGCACCCCUCAGCUCCAUUACUACCAAGGCUACCAUGAUGUGGCCGUCACUCUGCUGCUGGUUGUCGGGGAGCGGAUGGCCAUCGCCAUGCUGGACACUUUGUCCAAUCACCAUCUCAGGGAUUUCAUGGAUCCUACCAUGGACAGCACUAAACACAUUUUAAACUACCUGAUGCCUAUAUUGGAACAGGUUGAUACAGAACUCCAUGACUUCAUGAUCAGAGCGGAGGUGGGAACGAUCUUCGCGCUGUCCUGGCUCAUCACAUGGUACGGCCACGUGCUGUCAGACUUCAAACACACCAUGAGACUGUACGACUUCUUCCUAGCCUCACACCCACUGAUGCCCAUCUACCUCGCCGCCGCGAUUGUAUUGUACAGAGAGAAGGAGGUGAAGAAGACAGAGUGCGACAUGGCCAUGGUCCACCACCUCCUCUCGCGCAUCCCCCAGGACCUCCCAUACGAACUUCUGAUUGGUCAGGCCCAGGACCUCUUUGAGCAGUACCCUCCAUCUGUACUCGCCAAACGUGCAGCACUGCAGUCUCGCAAGAGCCUGUCAAUCAGCACCUUCCAAGCAUUUCAGCUCUCCACCCUCCACCAGAGGCCCGACUCUGUUCUCCAACGCCUCACCAAGGCCCAGGGCUCCACCACCUCCAGACACGCCUCUCGACACACAGGUCUGGAAGCAGCUUUGCCCCGAGACCGAGGCCAGCUGUGGGGGAAGGGGAACAGGAUGGUGAAGAUGGCAGUGUGGGGGCUGUCCGCUACGCUCGGGGCGGCCGUGUUCGCAGUGGCUCAGACAGCUAUGGACUGGGGACCUGACGUGUUACUACAACUGUUCUGAUGUGGCGGUGGGGAUUUGGGCUGUUAGACACACACAUUAACACAUGGUGACAGCAGACGCAUAUCUGCUCUUCAGACGGAUUUACGAUAAACAAACAUACAUACUCAAACAAAGACGUGGAAGACUUGAAACUCGUCUCUCCUGCUGUGAGGAAACAUUGGAGAAAAGCAGGAGGAGGUCAGUAAUCUUAGUGCCAAACAGGUUGUUGCUACUCAACCACGAUGAACAUAUGUUAGCCACUAGCCAGCCUCGGGAUGUAUGUGCAUGUGUGAGUGGGUGUAUGUGUGCUGCAUGUUGCAUGAAAGCACCUGCUGGGGCCUCUAACAUCUUGGGCGCCUGGGCCAGAGCUUCUGUGUGAAGUGACUGUCAACAUUUCUUUAUGAAAAGUAAUUUAAACGGUCACAAUGAGAGAGAAAGAAGACUAAACCACAAUAAACAGACACAACCAGAGACAGAUGCAAAGUGACCUCAGAGAGACGCAGAAUGACCUAAAAGGAUUGCAAAAUGGCCAUAGAGAUGCAAAAAUGACCACAGAGAGAUGCAAACGACCACAGACAGUAGAGCUGCAAUGAUUAAUUGAUGAGUCGUCAACUAUAACAUUUUUCACCAUCUAAUUUGAUGAUCGAUGAAUUGGUUUGUAAUUUUAAUUUAAAAUUAAUUCCAGCUUUUUAAAUGUGAAUAUUUGCUGGUUUCUUUACUCCUCUAUGACAUUAAACUGAAAGUCUUUGAGUGGUGGACAAAAGUAAGACAUUUUAGGACAUCAUCUUAGGCUUUCGGAAUUUUCUAAUAUUUAAUAGACCAAACAACUUAUCACUUAAUCAAGAAAGUAAUCAACAAUGACAAUAACUGCUGGUUGCAACCCUGCAACAGAGAAAUGGAAAAAGUCUCUCUCAAUGUUGGGUCUUGCUCCUAUGUAGGAGGAGCGGGAGCUUUUACUUGUUUGUGCCCAGGGGCCCAUUGUCUCAUUAUCCAUCCAUGCAUGUGAGACACUAACACAUUUUGCUCUCUCAGGCUGUUGCUCACACGGUACCGUCGGUGUAACGUUUUACACGUGUCGCUGUGUGUUUGCUGUUAGCUGAUUAUUUUUGCUGAUAACUCGUUUUUGACUGUCAUGCUUGUUUCGUUGCAUUUCAGCUGAUGGUGUUUUAGUGCGCCUGUUGGAUCAGCAGCCAUAUCUGAGAGCCAAAAGUGCCCGUAGCCAGCGCAAUGACACAUGAAUACAAAUUAUUAAAGAGCGGGUUUUCCUGCUGAAAGCUUCCAGUUGUGAGCAGAGAAGGAGAGCGGGAGAGAAAUGGGAAAGAUGGAGGGGGAGAUUUUGCCUGAGAGUCACUGGUAUUAAUUGCUUUACUCCAGGUGUCAGCCAGUUACAUUUGCAGUAGAGUUUGACACACGAAAAACGAGCUGUUGCCGACCCAAAAUGUGAACAUGACACACAGUUAGCACGCAAUGCAAGCAGUGGGCCUUUUGCAGAUAUAUUUUGCAGUAGUUAUUGAAAUACUAAUUUAUUUAAUAUGUUGUUUUUCUAUUUUCUGUAGCUGUUUCUGCUCACUGCUGAAUGAAUAUGGAGAGGACACCAGUACUUUUACCUUCUUGAAAUAUUUAGCAGGUUUGCGUCAACAUCCACCCUAAACAGCCGUCAACAGAACUACAUGGACUCAGUUCUUCUUCUGCAUCAUGUUUCCCUUCAGCAUUUUAUAGCUGCAGUGAUUAUUUAAACAUAUGUGAUGUUGUUUUUCUAUUAGUGGGAGAAGUUAACUACCUGCUGCAUCACACACACCCUGUAGUUACUGUUGGACCAAACAUAAUUAUUGAGUUUCAGCGCCUGAAAAGUGAAUAUUAAUAAUUGAGGUUGUUUCCAACUAAGGUACAUACACACGGUAUGUACAGCGUGCUGGGUUUGCCCAAACAGCAAUGCAUGCUCUGUGUAUCGACUUGUGCUCUAAAAUAUUUAUCUUUUUACUAGCAUGUUGCCGUCUUGCAUCUGUUAACACACCUUCACCAGAGUCACAAUACUCUCAUCCCUCCUGUUCCUCCGUCAUCACAUAUAAAUGUGUGUUAUCUUUGCACAGUCGGAUUGGAUGUGAAAUUUACCCUGUUGAUUCUAGUUGCUUUGUAGCGCAUGAAUUCAAAUCUUUGUUUCGAAUGAAAUGACAGUACGCGUUGUACAAAUGUAACCUCUAGCCUCCAGUGAUCGGAGAAGGAUUGCUGAGCUGAGUAGUUAACAAACCUGUCAUUCAAUCUUCAAGUUGUCAGUUUCAGGCACUCUUCAGCCAAUUGCUUUUAUUUUGAUUGGUGGUAAUCAGUCACUUAUUGUGUUAGAGAGUCAAUCAAUCAAUCAAAGGCCUGUAACUCAGGUAGUCGGUUGGCCAGCAAGCCAGUUAGGAUUCAGACAUCUCGUCAGUCUGUGGUGGUUGUUUAAAUAGCCUCUGCAUGUUCCACUUUGCAGCCUGACAAGCUCUACAUCAUGUCAAACAUCACACGUGUGCAUGUCCGAUGUGAUUAAAUGCAAUAAGUGUGUGUGUGUGUGUGUGUGUGUGUGUGUGUGUGUGUGUGUGUGUGUGUGUGUGUGAGAUAGAUAUGUUAGCUUUAGUCACAGGUCAGUUUUUUUCCAUUUAGCUCGCUGGGCAUCUAAUGCUUUUUAUUUAUUUUACUUUUUUGUGUUGCUACUUUGUAUAAACUGUUAACAGUCUAUUUAUUUUAAAGGCAACAAUCUGAUUGGCUGUUUUUUAAAUGGCGAAACAUUUAAUUAUAUUUUAUGAAUGUAUUUAAAAUGAAUUGUGGGCCAGUUAAAAAAAAAAAAAAAACGUAAUUAUGGUUUGUAAUAUCACCAGUCUGUGGCUUUAUAUUUUUUAAAGGUAUUACAGUAUUUUACAUAUAAAAUUUUGUAUGUGGUCAGUCAUUAAAAAUCAGACUUCAAGUUAAAGGAAUAGUUUGACAUUUUGGGAAACAUGCAUCAUUGCUUUCUUGCUAAGAGCUAGAUAAGAAAAUUGAUACUACUCUCAUGUCUAAAUAAUAAUAAUACUAAUGAUAACAAUAAACUGAAUUUGUAUAGCUCAAAAAUAAAUUACUAAGUGCUUUACAGAACAAGAUAAAAUAGUAUACAAAGUCAGGAUAAAAAUAGCAGAAACAUAAAUUACAACAUAUAAAAAUGCGUACAAUAAAAAAUAAAAAAGGGAUAUAAACAAGACAAACAGCAGAUUUACUGUUAAAAAAAGCCUUUCUGUAGAAAGGAGAGAUUUAAAACAAGAUACUGAGUUUGCUAACUUAUGUUCCUCAGGUAGGGAGUUCCACAGCUGCAGGGCUCUAACAGGAAAAUAUGUAGUUUCCUUUUGUAACUAGAUGGGCUGUGGGAACAGUUAGGAGGUUCCUACCUGAGGAGCGCAGGGGUAAAUCUAUAAUGUAUGUAGGAGCAAGGCCAUGUAGGGCUUAAAAAGUAUCAGUAUAUGCUAUACCCAACCCAGUGCUAUACCCAACAGGUACUCAUUGUAGCUUUGCAAGGGCAAUGGUGAUGUGGUUUUGUCUCUUGAAAUUUGUUAUAAGUCAGGCAGUUUUGAAUAAGCUGGAGACAGGAACUGGCCUUUUGGUUGAGCCCCUAAUACAGGGCAUUACAGUAAUCCAAUCUUGAUGAGAUGAAGGCAUGGGUGACUUUUUAAAGGUCUGCUUGAGAUAAAUAAUGUUGAACUUUAGCAAUGUUUCUGAUUUGAAGAAAGAAUGAUUGCACUACCUUGGUUAUUUAUAUGCUGAAACACAUCUCAGUCAAACAUGACACCACCCAAAUUGUGGGCAGAAUGCCUUACAUUUGAUGGCUGUGGUGAUCGGUGAUUCGAUCCCCAGCUCCUCCAGUCCACAUGCGCAAGUGUCCUUGGGCAAGAUAUUGCACCCCAAGUUGUUCCCGAUUGCUGUUCCAUGGGAGUGUGAGUACAUUUAAGCUGAGUAGCAGGUAGCACCUCCUACGGUGAAUGUGACAUGUAAUAUUAAAGCGCUUUGUGUGGUUGGAUGACCAGAAAGGCGCUAUACAAAUGCAGGUCCAUUUAUACUGAAGGACAGGUAAAUAUAAAGUAGUGUUGCACGGUAUACCGGUACUAAAAUAGUACCGCGGUACUAGAGUAUUCCAAACGGUACUAUACUGCAUUUGGAAAAUACCGGUACUUUGA